rnacentral:lncRNA from 1 species
CUUCUUUUUUUUUUCUCUUGAUAUUUUCAGUGACACUCUAUUGAUUCACAGAGGCAUGAAUACUGUUUUUUUUCACCUAAUACACAAUGUGAGAAAGUUUAGCUUAAAGCACCUUCAUUUUAGCAUGCAUGCAUAGGUGUUCUUCAGUAGGAUUGUGAGAGGAACAGCAGUUAAAUUAGAGGAAAAUCAAGUUAAAAUAUUCUGUCAUGUGUCAUAAUUUACAGUGUAAAUCUGAAGUGAACUAACCAGUAUCCAAAGUUCUCAAUGUCUAUAUUGUUUUCUCACUCUUUGCCUUUUUACUAAAAGCUGCACAGACAUUUACAGCUCUGAAGAUAAGUACCUCUUAGAAAGAUUUAACAGUAUUAUUAUAGCCUCAUUAUUUAUUUAAAUCAUUAACUUAUGCUUUAUGUAAAUAUUUUUAUUGUUGCUUUUCACUUUGCAGAUAUAUUUUAAAUUUUCUUGCAUAAAAUCUAAGCUCAAGCACAUCUGCAGUCUGCAAUGGCAUGUGCAAGAGAACAUAGACAAUUUUAAUGAAUGGUGCAUGCUAACAUACUGGAGAAACUCAUGUAGCUUGUUGUAGAUACUGCUCAUUGACACAAAUACAUAUGUUUACGUUCUUACAUUUUCAUUUGCUGAAAUGGAUAGUAAAGUGAAAUAUUUGUUAUAGGUGCAGCUCUAGCCAUGAUACAGGAAGCCAGUUCAUAUUGAAGACCCACUGAAAUCAGCAAUGGGUCAUUAGGAUGCAUCUGCUAUGGUAACUGAUUGCCAAAUCUGAGACUGAAAACUGAAAGUAAAAAAAGGAUUUAAAGACAUCAUCGCAGUUUCUUAGGAGAAGGUCCUGAGCUGUGGAAAACUGAGAAUUUUCAGUUCUGCUGAUCUCUAUGUCGUCUGCCAUAUCUUGUCCUUGCCUAAGAGGCUUGCAGCAUGUUCCAGAGCACAUCUGAAUCCCAGAAUUCACUAUAAUUGGCAAGAAAACAAGCAGAACGUACCAAAAGUACCAUACCUGUACAAGCAGAGAGUUUGUCUGAGUUUAAAGGAAAGAAAGAACAAAAAGAAAACAGAACUGGAAGGGGAUCGAUGCCAUUUCACAAGAUAG